rnacentral:misc_RNA from 1 species
AAGUCGUAACAAGGUUUCCGUAGGUGAACCUGCGGAAGGAUCAUUACCAAUUUUGUCUUUUUACAAGACUUGUAUAUUGUGCAAUCAUUAGUUUUAUGAUUUCCAUUUACUUGGAUUUCAUAUACUCACCUUUUAAUAUUUGAUUAUUAUAAACUUUUCAAUGGAUUUAAAAAACCCAUAGAAAACAAAUCAUAAAAAAUAUACAACUUUUAACAACGGAUCUCUUGGCUCUCC